rnacentral:rRNA from 1 species
GCGAUGUUUGAUCAUGGCUCUCUCACAGUUUGCUCAAGCGGUGAUCAGGUCGUGACAAGAAGUUGUCGCCCCUGCACCGAAGCAAUGAACUCUCAAUCAUACCUAGGCUAGGUAGAGAUAAGGGGACAGCUUGAACAAAGUGUGAGAGUACACGAGCGGCGGACGGCUGAGUAAUACGUAGGAAUGUACCCCAAACUGAGGGAUAACUGCCCGAAAGGGUGGCUAAUACCGCAUGUGCUCUUCGGAGUAAAGCUUCGGCGGUUUGGGAACGGCCUACGUCCGAUUAGCUUGUUGGUGAGGUAAUGGCUCACCAAGGCGACGAUCGGUAGCUGGUCUGAGAGGGCGACCGGCCACACUGGGAUUGAGAACGGCCCAGACUCCUACGGGGGGCAGCAGUGAGGAAUUUUCGUCAAUGGGGGCAACCCUGAACGAGCAACGCCGCGUGCAGGAAGAAGGUUUUCGGAUCGUAAACUGCUUUUCUCUGGGACGAGAACGGACGGUACCAGAGGAAUCAGCCUCGGCUAACUACGUGCCAGCAGCCGCGGUAAUA